rnacentral:rRNA from 1 species
CAUUCCCAGUAUUGGAGGCAUUGCCUGCCCAGUGACAACUGUUUAACGGCCGCGGUAUCCUGACCGUGCAAAGGUAGCAUAAUCAUUUGUUCUCUAAAUAAGGACUUGUAUGAAUGGCCGCACGAGGGUUUUACUGUCUCUUACUUCCAAUCAGUGAAAUUGACCUUCCCGUGAAGAGGCGGGAAUGCACAAAUAAGACGAGAAGACCCUAUGGAGCUUUAACUAACCAACCCAAAGAGAAUAAAUUUAACCAUUAAGGAGUAACAACAAUCUCCAUGAGUUGGUAGUUUCGGUUGGGGUGACCUCGGAGAAUAAAAAACCCUCCGAGCGAUUUUAAAGACUAGACCCACAAGUCAAAUCACUCUAUCGCUCAUUGAUCCAAAAACUUGAUCAACGGAACAAGUUACCCUAGGGAUAACAGCGCAAUCCUAUUCAAGAGUCCAUAUCGACAAUAGGGUUUACGACCUCGAUGUUGGAUCAGGACAUCCUGAUGGUGCAACCGCUAUCAAAGGUUCGUUU